GAAAGAAGAAGAACGGCUGACGGAGACUAACGUUGUACCUGUUUACUUGUUACAUGUAUUUAAGCCCGCAGUUUCCACCCCCCGUGUUCCGCCCACUGCCACGUCCCUUUCUUUGGCUCGGCUGUGGCUCAUCUCGGCGAUCGCUUCUGGCUGGGUCAAACGCUUUGGCGCUAUGGCGCUUCCACGACACAUCGUCUGUCUUUCCGGUUACCAAACUGGCCCCCAGAUGAUUCUUGUCUCAACACAAACGUUGUCAUUUCAGCACGCUGCAAAGGUGACCUGCCACCACCCCUGACACCUCCAAUCUACACCAGAACCUGGCAUAGCAGGAGAGUUAUGCAACUUGGGCUCUACCACCACCACCACCACCAGUGUCUGGACUCCCAAGGGGGGGACAUGCCUCGUAUCGGCUCGAGAUCCCGGCCCCGGGUCUAUCCUGCGGCAGGAUGGAGUCCAAGCCCCAAACAACUCGC
ensembl:lncRNA